AACUCACGAUCGGUGCCGAUCGAUGCGUUUUCCUCUUCGCGCCUCUCUCGCGCUCCUCAUAUUCGAUCCGAUUCCAAGUCACUUUCCCUGGUCGAGCAAAAACACGCUCUCUUAGUCGGUAAUAGUCACAGGACUAUUAAUAAAGCCAACUUUUCGCGUACUGAGUCACAACUGGACGAAGAGGAUUCACCCCGUUCCAGUAAUUCGUACCUACGACGCAUUUGCGAUCUCGAUCACAUCUCGAACAAUGACAACGAAACCUUUUCUCUCGCUUGAAAAAAAAAAAAAAAAAAAAAAACCCCCGUACUAGGAACUCGAAAUUUCCCUCGGUACGGUAACGCGGGAAAGUUUGCCAACCGGGAAACUCGGAGGCAGCGAAUCGAUAACGAGCAACACGAUCGCGACGAGUCCGCCGCGUGUACGACAAUGAAACAACGUUCCGGAUUCGCUCGGUGAUCCCCUGGUACUACCUAUGCCACCACCGAGUAUCCACAUACUGACACAACGAUAGAACCGAAGACAGACAGACAGACGUACACGUUUACACGCGUGCGUCGUCCUCGUAUUAUACACCUUCACCGCGCGAGCGGUACGGACUGACAACAAACACACCGCAACAACGAUUACUAUUCUUCAGAAACACACGGUUUCUGCAUUCACCGGUCCGUGAAUCCGUAUAACCAACGCGGUACCAGCAUACUCGAAGACUGUACAGGGUGUUGAAAAGAUACAGGGUGUCGGUAUGGGUGCUGGAAUCCGGACGAAGGGUUGAAAGUGUUCCAUGGGGUGAUCCGAGUCGUACCUAGCGAUGGGAAAAAGAAAAAAAAUGUUGCUCAGUGAACUGCUGAUUGAAUCGCAAUCUUACCCUUAAUACUACCCCUCUCGGAGCACCCUAUAUGCGUCGCAGUUUACUCAGGUGAGAUUCACCGAUGUCCUCCUAAAUCGCAGCUGCGUACAAAAUUCAUUCUCACCUUGAAAUUAAGUAAAAGAGAACAUAUGCGACAAACAUAAGCCGUACAUUGUUAAACGUGUAAAGUAGCUUCUCGGUAAACGUCAUCAACCGAAGAACAAGGUUGUGCCACGUUACGAGGUUCACUCGGUUUUCUCAUAGUUACACACGUCCUCAAAUAGAACCGUUUUCUUUCACAUAGCAAAAUGAAUUCUAUAACGAUUCGUCGGUAGAGUGAGUACGUAGAAAGUGGAAAAACAUAUGUAUGUAUAUUAGAAAACAGAUUGAAAGAAUGUAAUAGAUUUUCAGUUCCUCUUACGUGCGUAACUUAGAAACUCGCGCGUUAAAGAUGGUAACGCGGCGAAGAAGAGAAGAGAGACAACUUUCACCGUACGAUUAUCCGCACCGUAACAAACGAUAAGAACGUAGUCUGAUAAUAGCUUGGCAAAGUGAAGUCACGUGUGGUGCGCAUAAUCGUCGGUUACAGAGGAGUAUUGUCGUGGAAACACGAGAAUACAACUUGGUACGGUAUUUUCCGUGGAAAACCGAUGACUCGUUGCCACGGUAGAAAUUUCGUGUGAAAUAAACCUUUAACUAUCGUACACGACACCAGUUUCGCGGUUCUAGAAUUUCAUGGUACGAAUGUGUUUCAACUCGUCCAAGAACGAUACCUUUCUGUCUUGACAUGUUUAUCGAUUUUAGGAUCGAAUUCGUGCUAUAGCUACACGUACCGGUCCUCGUCGACCUUUAUAUACAUCCGUUCCUACUUCCCGCCGUGUAAAAAUCCCCGAGAGGACCUUGAAAGGCCUCUCCCUAGCCUCGUCGUGCCGACUGGACAAGUUGGUACAUUUUCAUGCAAUGCCGCGUGUAUGCGAGAGACUUUUACACUAGCAAUUGUCUUUUUCAAUAGAAUUCUUUCAAUUCUUCUAUCUUUCUCAUCCGCCUUAAAAUCCUUAAUUGGUAUUAAAUCCUUAUCCGAAUAAAUGGUUUCUUGGGAGCUAUUUAAGUACCAUUUUAUCGCAUUGAUAAACUGCAAGAGAAUCUGCUUGGUAACGUUUAAAAAUUUGAUAAGAUAAUAAAGAAUAACAUUAAUUUUCAAAUAAUUAUCGAAUGACAAGUCCAUCGAGGUUCCCACAGGGCCCCCAUAAGACGAUUUUGCGUCUAAGAAUGCAACGAGAGUAAUGUUUACUUGAAUAUUAAUCAAAUCUAAAUUAGUUAUACAAGCUUUAAUGUUAAUUUUAUAAAUUUUAUUUGAGCUCUUUUUUUUAUGUCGUAUAUGUGAAGGGGCGCUUUUUCGGAGCUCGCCUCGGACCCCCGAAAUCUCAGGGCCGACCCUGGGUUCCCAUAAUCCAAAAAGGGGUUAAUCUAUCGUACUAGUAAACUCGUUAUAAUUCUUCAACGCAAAACAGAAAUAGUAAAAGUCGAUGAAUGGUGUAUAAAGUAUUCGACGAUGAUUAUUAUCGGUUCAGCCACCCCGAUAUUAUCUACAGACAUUCGCUCAUCUAGACAGAAAUAUAAUACAGUUGACCGCAAUUCACUGCGUAUUCCUGCCAACUAUUAUAAAUAUAUAUAUAGGUCUCCUCGAAAAUGUUAGAUGCAGUUGUCUAAUGAAAUCAUUGGAUUUCACGCAAUUUCUGUUCGAACGCGUUUCAACGAGACCGUUCGAUACGAAUAAUACAUUUCAAUUCCUAAUUUGCAGUCGUUUCACGGCAUGGAAAAAGUCUAUUUGCACAUGUACCGGUUCGUAUAAACGAGCACGUCUCCGAAGGACCGUUAAACACGGUGAAAAUUUUAUGAAGAAAGCACCUCCGACGAAUAAUGGAAAACAAGCAGUCUUUUAUUCGUACUGCAAGGAAGUCGACUAUGUGUCGUAGCCCGGCUGAUCAUGACGGCGCCAAACUACUUUUUCUGCCCAGACAGACCGCUACUACUUGUCCACAUAGUCGAUAACCGAUGCGGCUCAAAAUUGUAACCGAGAGAAAGGUCUUUCUAAAAAAAAAAAAGUGAAAGAAAAAGGUCAGCCUCGUACAAUCACCUAUCCCUCCGUUCAGAAGUAGAAACAAAUCAGAAGUAAGAAAAGAAGAUUAAGUGUUUCUUAGGAAUCAGCAACAGUUGUUGACAGACGUACCCACGCUCAUCGCGCGAAAUGAUAACGAACCCUAGAACCAACUGUAAUACCAUUGAACUGAAUAAAACAGAUAUAAUUUCAAUGACCUUUAACCCGUCACGAUAAACUAACGACUGAUCCUUUUAUUUUGACCAGAACUCACCUUGGCCAUCGUGUCGUGGGUGGGUCCUAAAGAUUGCUCCAAUCCGAUGAUCUCUGGUACCGAUUCCCGCUGAUACUGUUGCACUUCCUUGACAUAAGUCUCGUUCUGGAAAACGGCAAUAUAUGCGGUGGUCGCAUUACCAGUCGUUUUUUUACUUUUUUCCCACGCGACGCUCCUUUUCGAUCGCACCCGUGUACAACUUUCGUAGCGACACGUCGAUUGCUUGCGGAUGCCUUCACGCAGCGACGCUCCCGACGCCGGCGUCGCCGAGAACAACGUUUAUUGAUCGGCGCCGUGCGGAGGCGUCGUUACCCGUGGAAUGGAGAGAAGGGGGUGGAAUUGCCGGUGACGGAGAUAGUGCUCGAGGUGGCGGUGGUGCCGUCGUGGAGAUGGAAAUGACAACGGAGGCGCCACCGCCGAAAAAUCAUUCCGCAAAAUCUUCGCUGACUCCUCGAACUUUCUUUCUCCCUCUUUCUCUUUCCGGAAGUAGGGUAGAUAUAAUUCUGAGGGAACAAGGAAAAUGUAUACCUUUUAGUAUGGAUACGAUUACAGUAUUCCCUUGCAAACUGUCCUGAUGAGAUUUUUAUCUACUGUCCGCAGCCCUAUCCCCACCAUUGCGUGAAACAGCUUGCUCUAUCGUUGUCUACAAUCUAUAGCCGACGAUUAGGAUCAGCAACGCAUAUUUGAAAAUUUAAUUAAAUUGCUGAGAUUCAACUAUGACUAUGUUUCAAUGAUUUUUAAUUAGAUGAUAUUGAAUAAUAAUAUCGUGAACUUACCCUUUCUCUAUUUUAUUCUCUCGUCCUAAACACAUCCAGCUAAACGAACCGAAAAUUAGAUAAUAGUAAAUCUCUGUAAUAUCUAGCUGUCAACUGUCAUAGAGUCGAGUCCAGCUAGAGACAAUUAGCAAGGGAAUCCUGCUUGAUGAUCAGAAGAAGGAAAUAGAAGAUGGAGAAUGAGUGGAAAUACCGUGUCUUCGAUAUUCUCAAAAUGUUUAAAUUUCUUCGUAUAAUAAACAUACCUACGAUAAACAUAUUUGUCUAUAAUGAGAUUUGAAAUGUUCCUUAUGUAACUUCAAUGCGUCCGCAAGAAUAAACAUGUCGACCAUUUCAGAAUUUGCAUUGUAGUCUCAAUUGACUGAUGUAAACUUACCGAAUCCAUUUUUCAUUAUUUGUGUCUUCUAAACAUCUCGCACUUCACUUUAUAUCUCUUAUCUCUUCGAUACAUAUUUCUACACCUAUCAACACUACCGUGUCAACAUCAGGAAGGGAAAGUCAAGCGAAGAACGUCCGUGAAUAUUUUCAAACAUGUUUUUCAACUAAAACAGCGAAUCACCUGAAAUAUAUAUUCGUAAAUAAACCAAUAACUUUCGAGCAUGAAAUUAACCUAUAAUAGGCUCUUAUAAAAAUCGCGCCAUUUAAUUCACUAUUUGAAUUACAAUUUUACCUGUGUUACGUGAAUUUAGUUUUAAUUUUAAUUAUCAAUAUGAAAAUUUUGGGAAUAACGAGGACAUUAUAUAAAUUGAUAAUUAAAGUAAUAAAACUACGAUAUUUUCAUUGCACAUAGAUACACAGAUAGAAAUAUUUUUUUUUUAUUUAUACUUGAUAGCUGCACAACACAGUAAUUACCAGAAAUGCAGAUACAGUAGCACAAAUGAAGUUUCGUUUCGAAAGAUUGGCAGAGUAAAAGAGAAAUACACUUUACGAUAUACGCUAACAUGUACGAAGUCGUUUUCUUAAUGAAUUUCAUAAUCUUACAACGAUAGCAGAGUUGUACGAUAUCGUAAUAUUGACUGCUACAAGAGAUCUAUACCUGCUGUUUUAUCAUUCAUUGUAUUAUGAUAUCAUUUUAUAUAACACUAACGAGUAAACAUUAUCUUGAUGAAUAAAAAGAUGAAUACACUUAUGGACAUAUUUCACUGUAUCUGAUCCAAGUGUUCUGUUGACAAUCUUUACAAUUUCACAGGAAAAACUUGCAUUAUACGAUAUCGUACUUUUCAUCACGACAGACAACUGUGUCUCUUGUCAUUAUCAUCGUUUAGAACGAUAAUACAAUGAUAUUGACAUCUCAACAGACUCAAAGUAAAUAUUAUAAGAGAAAGCCCGCAGCUAUCGGUUCUAAACGAUACAUGUGGAAUGGAUUCUGCAGACGUACAUUCGAUUUUUUUUUUUUUUUU